rnacentral:rRNA from 1 species
AUACGUAGGGGGCGAGCGUUGUCCGGAAUGAUUGGGCGUAAAGGGCGCGUAGGCGGCGCGGUAAGUCUGGAGUGAAAGUCCUGCUUUCAAGGUGGGAAUUGCUUUGGAUACUGCCGCGCUUGAGUGCAGGAGAGGUUAUCGGAAUUCCCGGUGUAGCGGUGAAAUGCGUAGAGAUCGGGAGGAACACCAGUGGCGAAGGCGGGGAACUGGACUGCAACUGACGCUGAGGCGCGAAAGUGUGGGGAGCAAACAGGAUUAGAUACCCUGGUAGUCCACACUGUAAACGAUGAAUGCUAGGUGUAAGAGGUAUCGACCCCUUUUGUGCCGGAGUCAACACAAUAAGCAUUCCGCCUGGGGAGUACGGCCGCAAGGUUGAAACUCAAAUGAAUUGACGGGG